GAGAUGAAUUAUAUAUAUAAUAAUUGUUAUUAUACAUAUGUAUUUAUAUAUUCUGGCGAAUCUACAAACUCAAAAUUAACCCAAAUUAAAUAAUAUAAAUUUAAUUAACCGUCUAAUUUUCUGGAUAUUUUAACCUUUGACUCAUAUCCUAUUGGACCUGUCCCUUUAUCAGCCCUGUUAAAAGUGUUUAUCUUUUGUGGUUUAUCCUAAGAAAAUCUACCUUCCAAUUCUUUCUUACUUUUUAUUUUUUUUUACCAAAUUGACUAAAAUCAUCCUUCCAUUUAUUCUUGGAUCUAAUCACAUCUUUUGAUACAUGUAUAAAUCUAUUUAUUGAAGAAGAAUCAUGUAGAUCUGAAGCAAUUGAAGAGUCAGGGUUUCUUUGUCAAGAAAAACAUGCUUUUCAUAGUUAAAAUUGUUGAUCCAAGCACAAUUUAAAGCAGAUCGAUUUGCUUAAUUUCUAGGAUGUUCAUCUUUCUUCUCAACUACUGUGAAAGCAAAUUGGGUCCAUCUUUUGGUGAAGCUUUAGGUAUACCAUUAUUUGGGGCUCACAAGUGAAUGUUGAUGCUGAUGGGCAUGAAACCAAAAUUGUAGAGAAUAUUAUAAAACAAGUCGUACAAGAGGUCAACCACACACCUCUAGAUGUUGGAGAUACUCAUGUCAAAGAUAUAGAGUUGUUAUUGCGAAAUGAUUUUGACAUGGUUGGCAUUGGUGGAAUAGGAAAAACAAAUUUGGCAUCAAGGUAUCUACGACCUAAUAUUAUGAUAUUAGAUCAAAACCGGAAGCUUAUAAUGCUCUAGUCAAGCUACAAGAGAAACUUCUUCAUCAAAUUCUCAAGACGUAAGAUAAUUUAAUUAUUCUUGAUGACGUGGAUCAUCUAAGCCGAUUAGAGUCCUUAACAAGAGAAAGAAGUUGGUUUGGUUCGGGUUGUUUAAUCAUCAUUACAAUCCAACACAAACAUUUGAUAUGUGGCCUUAGAGCAAAGACUAAUUGGUUGCUAGAUAUUCUAAAGAUUUCAAGAAAUCUUGUAUUUUAAAGAAAGAAGAGUUGAUAUUGGGAGAAGUAGUGAUGAA